UUAGGAAUUUUGCGCAAUGGGCGAAAGCCUGACGCAGCAACGCCGCGUGAGGGAAGACGGCUUUCGGGUUGUAAACCUCUUUUAGCAGGGACGAACACAAUGACGGUACCUGCAGAAAAAGCACCGGCUAACUACGUGCCAGCAGCCGCGGUAAUACGUAGGGUGCAAGCGUUAUUCGGAUUUAUUGGGCGUAAAGCGCAUGUAGGCGGUUCGGUAAGUCUGGUGUGAAAGCCCGCGACUCAAUCGAGGAAGUGCAUUGGAUACUGUCGGACUGGAGUACAGGAGGGGUGGGCGGAAUUCAAGGUGUAGAGGUGAGAUACGUAGAUAUCUGGAGGAACAACAGCGGCGAAGGCAGCUCACUGGACUGUAACUGACGCUCAGAUGCGAUAGUGUGGGGAGCAAACAG
rnacentral:rRNA from 1 species